rnacentral:tRNA from 1 species
GGUAAUAUGGCUGAGUUUAAGCAGUAAACUGUAAAUUUACUAACAGGUUUAAUCCUUUUUACCA